GACCGGGUAACUCAAAUGGUAGAGUAGCCGACAUGUCCCCGGGAGGUUCUGGGUUCGAAUCCCAGUCCAAGCG
rnacentral:tRNA from 1 species